rnacentral:rRNA from 1 species
UACGUAGGGGCCUAGCGUUGUCCGGAUUUAUUGGGCGUAAAGAGCUCGUAGGCGGUCUGUUGCGUCGGCUGUGAAAACCUAAGGCUCAACCUUGGGCUUGCAGUGGGUACGGGCAGACUAGAGUGCGGUAGGGGUGACUGGAAUUCUUGGUGUAGCAGUGAAAUGCGUAGAUAUCAAGAGGAACACCAGUGGCGAAGGCGAGUCCCUGGACAACACCUGACACUGAGGCA